AGAUCGUAGUGUACCCUGUUCUCGAGAGAGCUUUUAUGAGACGCCUCUCUUUCCCCUUCGUUCGAAACAGAGUCGGACGCCACGCAACAGUGUUCGGUUCUAGGAGGGCUGCAAAACUAUUCAGGAACAGAUUUAUGUCGAUUUUAGUGAAUCAGUCAUCCGUUUUGGGUCCAGAAUUGACUGAUGAUGUAGAGGUUGCUCUGCUGUCUGCAGUCGAUGAUGACCAUGGAGGUGUCAUUGUUGAAUUGAAGGAACCAAUGGACCCUGCAGCUUUCCAUACUUCGUUAAGAGCAUCUAUAAGUAAUUGGAAGAAGCAGGUACUGGACCCUUAUUGGUUGUCGGCAUUGGUGUUUCAACGACGAAGAAAGAGAGAAGAGGAAGGGCGGAAGAAGAGGAGUAAGAAGGGAAUAAAGGGUGCUUGGAUUAAAUUGCCUAUUCAACUUGCAAAUCUUGUUGAAGCUUGUGUCAAGGAGGGAUUUUGGUACCACCAUGCAGAACCCAGUUACUUGAUGCUUGUUUGUUGGCUUCCUAAUACCGAACAUACCAUACCUGUAAAUGCCUCACAUAGAGUGGGAGUUGGAGCUUUUGUAAUGAAUGAUAAAAGAGAGGUUUUGGUGGUCCAAGAAAAGAAUGGCAUACUUAGAGGUUUAGGUCUAUGGAAGUUUCCCACAGGAGUUGUUGAACAAGGUGAAGAUAUUCAUGCUGGAGUAAUAAGGGAAGUAAAAGAAGAGACAGGAAUUGACACUGAAUUUAUUGAAGUUCUUGCAUUCAGGCAGAGCCACAAGUCGUUCUUUGGGAAGUCAGAUUUAUUCUUUGUGUGCAUGUUACGCCCUCUUUCACACGACAUUUAUCCUCAAGAAUUAGAGAUCGAAGCUGCCCAGUGGAUGCCAGUGGAGGAAUAUGCAGCACAACCUCUCGUCCAGAAACAUGAGCUAUUAAAGUAUAUUCUUGAUGUCGGCAUGGCAAAGAUCGACAAGGGCUAUUCUGGCUUCUCGCCAGUUUCCGUGAAGGCACCAUUCUCUGGUUCACAGGGCCAUCUCUAUCUAAACAGCAGGGACUUGAACCUGCCAAGAACUGUCAACAUGUCUUAGAGAUGUUAAUUGUCUGUGCCGAGUCUAAAAGAUACAAGUGAUCAAUAACAUGCAUUGAGUUCUAAUAAUACAUGCUUCGUGAAAUGUCACAUGGUAACAGUAUGUAUGGAUGACAACUGAGAAAGAGAAGAUGAGUAGCUCUUAAUGGUCAUCAAUCUUUUGCCUCUUUGGAGCUUGUUCAGACUCAUCACCGUUGCUCCCCACCACCGAGUCUCCCAUUACUUGAUCGAGAGGUGAAUGGUUGCAGUUAUCCUACAAGCACAUCGAUUGAGAGGAUGUUCAGAUAAAAAGAAAAUGAUAAAGUGCAACAAAUUCAACAUUGCUACUGCAUCCUAAGGGUCACUGAGUUAUUCUUGACCACCAAACAAGCAUCAAACAAACAUUAUCGUUUGAAACCUUAUUGAUGGGGCCCGAGUUAAACAAUGGAACUCGAAUGAAGAUUAGUCCGAGACAGCUUUAACCAAGGAGGUACGAAUACCGACAUCCAUGGGUUACCACUAGAGAAAAAGGAUCACAACCGACGAGACCUCGAUACAUCUCUAGUUGCGAUACCAUGUGCAUUCACAAAUUUAAAUGGAAAGCUGGUAGUAAGAACAGAUGAAAAUGAAUACAUAGCAUAUACCUUUGCACUGGACAUAGUAGUAGUGGCAACAGACCUUCUAUUUGCUCGCCUACCUAGAUUGAUCUGAACAGAGAUACUAGCUUGAGACAGAUCCACACCGGAACUUUGCAGUGCUUGUGUUAUCGUUGUUAAAAACC